rnacentral:sRNA from 1 species
UAUUAGCCCCGAUAGCAGUGGAAAUCCUUUUACUUUUUCUUUUAAAAGUAAAAGAUUGCAACGAAUAGCGGGAGGGGAG